GAUCAUCCCGGGAGCAGACUAGCCUGAAGCCCCGACCGGUCGCCUCGGCUUGCGCCAGCCUUGGCCGACCAACGAGCGGAAUUUCCUGAGGCUCGGCCCUCGGAUGCCAGGCUAACCCGAUGAUCAUCCUGGGAGCAGACUAGCCUGAAGCCCCGACCGGUCGCCUCGGAUGCCUAGCGCCGGAGGAACUUCAAGAGUCAGGAGUCGGCGAGGCGCUACCGAGAGUUAAAAAGAGGAAGGAUGUCCGCCAAAAUCCGCAGGCCGCCAGAUCAGCGACAACUGCCAUACGUCGUAAAGAAGGCGGGGAGCUCGGAGCGCGCGCGCCUUUCCGAGGGAUGGCGGCAAUCUCGAAGCAUCAC
rnacentral:lncRNA from 1 species